rnacentral:rRNA from 1 species
UGCCAGCAGCCGCGGUAAUACGAAGGGGGCUAGCGUUGUUCGGAAUCACUGGGCGUAAAGCGCACGUAGGCGGAUUUGUAAGUUAGGGGUGAAAUCCCGGGGCUCAACCUCGGAACUGCCUUUGAUACUGCAGAUCUAGAGUCCGAGAGAGGUGAGUGGAAUUCCUAGUGUAGAGGUGAAAUUCGUAGAUAUUAGGAAGAACACCAGUGGCGAAGGCGGCUUUCUGGACCGAUACUGACGCUGAGACGCGAAAGCGUGGGGAGCAAACAGGAUUAGAUA